rnacentral:rRNA from 1 species
GGGUUGUGAGGUUAAGCGACUAAGCGUACACGGUGGAUGCCCUGGCAGUCAGAGGCGAUGAAGGACGUGCUAAUCUGCGAUAAGCGUCGGUAAGGUGAUAUGAACCGUUAUAACCGGCGAUUUCCGAAUGGGGAAACCCAGUGUGAUUCGUCACACUAUCAUUAACUGAAUCCAUAGGUUAAUGAGGCGAACCGGGGGAACUGAAACAUCUAAGUACCCCGAGGAAAAGAAAUCAACCGAGAUUCCCCCAGUAGCGGCGAGCGAACGGGGAGGAGCCCAGAGCCUGAAUCAGUGUGUGUGUUAGUGGAAGCGUCUGGAAAGGCGCGCGAUACAGGGUGACAGCCCCGUACACAAAAAUGCACAUACUGUGAGCUCGAUGAGUAGGGCGGGACACGUGGUAUCCUGUCUGAAUAUGGGGGGACCAUCCUCCAAGGCUAAAUACUCCUGACUGACCGAUAGUGAACCAGUACCGUGAGGGAAAGGCGAAAAGAACCCCGGCGAGGGGAGUGAAAAAGAACCUGAAACCGUGUACGUACAAGCAGUGGGAGCCUCUUUUAUGGGGUGACUGCGUACCUUUUGUAUAAUGGGUCAGCGACUUAUAUUCUGUAGCAAGGUUAACCGAAUAGGGGAGCCGAAGGGAAACCGAGUCUUAACUGGGCGUUAAGUUGCAGGGUAUAGACCCGAAACCCGGUGAUCUAGCCAUGGGCAGGUUGAAGGUUGGGUAACACUAACUGGAGGACCGAACCGACUAAUGUUGAAAAAUUAGCGGAUGACUUGUGGCUGGGGGUGAAAGGCCAAUCAAACCGGGAGAUAGCUGGUUCUCCCCGAAAGCUAUUUAGGUAGCGCCUCGUGAAUUCAUCUCCGGGGGUAGAGCACUGUUUCGGCAAGGGGGUCAUCCCGACUUACCAACCCGAUGCAAACUGCGAAUACCGGAGAAUGUUAUCACGGGAGACACACGGCGGGUGCUAACGUCCGUCGUGAAGAGGGAAACAACCCAGACCGCCAGCUAAGGUCCCAAAGUCAUGGUUAAGUGGGAAACGAUGUGGGAAGGCCCAGACAGCCAGGAUGUUGGCUUAGAAGCAGCCAUCAUUUAAAGAAAGCGUAAUAGCUCACUGGUCGAGUCGGCCUGCGCGGAAGAUGUAACGGGGCUAAACCAUGCACCGAAGCUGCGGCAGCGACGCUUAUGCGUUGUUGGGUAGGGGAGCGUUCUGUAAGCCUGUGAAGGUGUACUGUGAGGUAUGCUGGAGGUAUCAGAAGUGCGAAUGCUGACAUAAGUAACGAUAAAGCGGGUGAAAAGCCCGCUCGCCGGAAGACCAAGGGUUCCUGUCCAACGUUAAUCGGGGCAGGGUGAGUCGACCCCUAAGGCGAGGCCGAAAGGCGUAGUCGAUGGGAAACAGGUUAAUAUUCCUGUACUUGGUGUUACUGCGAAGGGGGGACGGAGAAGGCUAUGUUGGCCGGGCGACGGUUGUCCCGGUUUAAGCGUGUAGGCUGGUUUUCCAGGCAAAUCCGGAAAAUCAAGGCUGAGGCGUGAUGACGAGGCACUACGGUGCUGAAGCAACAAAUGCCCUGCUUCCAGGAAAAGCCUCUAAGCAUCAGGUAACAUUAAAUCGUACCCCAAACCGACACAGGUGGUCAGGUAGAGAAUACCAAGGCGCUUGAGAGAACUCGGGUGAAGGAACUAGGCAAAAUGGUGCCGUAACUUCGGGAGAAGGCACGCUGAUAUGUAGGUGAAGCGACUUGCUCGUGGAGCUGAAAUCAGUCGAAGAUACCAGCUGGCUGCAACUGUUUAUUAAAAACACAGCACUGUGCAAACACGAAAGUGGACGUAUACGGUGUGACGCCUGCCCGGUGCCGGAAGGUUAAUUGAUGGGGUUAGCGGUAACGCGAAGCUCUUGAUCGAAGCCCCGGUAAACGGCGGCCGUAACUAUAACGGUCCUAAGGUAGCGAAAUUCCUUGUCGGGUAAGUUCCGACCUGCACGAAUGGCGUAAUGAUGGCCAGGCUGUCUCCACCCGAGACUCAGUGAAAUUGAACUCGCUGUGAAGAUGCAGUGUACCCGCGGCAAGACGGAAAGACCCCGUGAACCUUUACUAUAGCUUGACACUGAACAUUGAGCCUUGAUGUGUAGGAUAGGUGGGAGGCUUUGAAGUGUGGACGCCAGUCUGCAUGGAGCCGGCCUUGAAAUACCACCCUUUAAUGUUUGAUGUUCUAACGUUGGCCCCUGACCGGGGUUGCGGACAGUGUCUGGUGGGUAGUUUGACUGGGGCGGUCUCCUCCUAAAGAGUAACGGAGGAGCACGAAGGUUGGCUAAUCCUGGUCGGACAUCAGGAGGUUAGUGCAAUGGCAUAAGCCAGCUUGACUGCGAGCGUGACGGCGCGAGCAGGUGCGAAAGCAGGUCAUAGUGAUCCGGUGGUUCUGAAUGGAAGGGCCAUCGCUCAACGGAUAAAAGGUACUCCGGGGAUAACAGGCUGAUACCGCCCAAGAGUUCAUAUCGACGGCGGUGUUUGGCACCUCGAUGUCGGCUCAUCACAUCCUGGGGCUGAAGUAGGUCCCAAGGGUAUGGCUGUUCGCCAUUUAAAGUGGUACGCGAGCUGGGUUUAGAACGUCGUGAGACAGUUCGGUCCCUAUCUGCCGUGGGCGCUGGAGAACUGAGGGGGGCUGCUCCUAGUACGAGAGGACCGGAGUGGACGCAUCACUGGUGUUCGGGUUGUCAUGCCAAUGGCACUGCCCGGUAGCUAAAUGCGGAAGAGAUAAGUGCUGAAAGCAUCUAAGCACGAAACUUGCCCCGAGAUGAGUUCUCCCUGA